rnacentral:lncRNA from 1 species
CUGUUAUUUAAUAGCAUUUGUUUAAUUCAGAGAUUAAUAUAUCAUCUUCAACCCUGAAAAAAGAGGCCCUCUGAAACAUCAGACCCAAAAAAUUGGACACGGCCUAUUAGCCCAAAAGAACAUGUUGCCAAUUAUCUCCAUGUUUAUUUAAAUAUUUAGCUCUAAAGGAAGCAAUCAUUCCUUUAUACUUCUUUAAAUUUAGUAUUGACAUUUUUAUUUUGGGAAAGGAGGUCUUUUUUUUUUUUUAACAUGGAUACAGGAAAAGA